rnacentral:rRNA from 1 species
CAUGCAAGCCGAGCGAGAGAGUGACUUCGGUUGCGAGUAAAGCGGCGAACGGGUGAGUACAACGUGGAUAAUCUACCCUAAGGUCCGGGACAACCCCGAGAAAUCGGAGCUAAUACCGGAUAAGACCACAGUAUCCAAGGAUACAGCGGUAAAAGAUUUAUCGCCUUUGGAUGAGUCCACGUCCCAUCAGGUAGUUGGUAAGGUAAAAGCUUACCAAGCCUAAGACGGGUAGCCGGCCUUAGCGGGUGAACGGCCACAUGGGGACUGAGACACGGCCCUGACUCCUACGGGAGGCAGCAGUGGGGAAUAUUGGGCAAUGGGCGAAAGCCUGACCCAGCGAUGCCGCGUGAGGGAUGAAGGCCUUCGGGUCGUAAACCUCUGUCAGGAGGGACGAUGGGACACUUGUGUCUCGACGGUACCUCCAGAGGAAGCCCCGGCUAACUCCGUGCCAGCAGCCGCGGUAAUACGGAGGGGGCAAGCGUUGCUCGAAAUUACUGGGCGUAAAGGGUCCGCAGGCUGUCAGGCAAGUUGGUUGUGAAAGCUCAAGGCUUAACCUUGGAAUUGCAUCCAAAACUGCCUGACUAGAGUCCAAGAGAGGUUGGCGGAAUUCCCGGUGUAGCGGUGAAAUGCAUAGAUAUCGGGAGGAACACCAGAGGCGAAGGCGGCCAACUGGCUUGGAACUGACG